rnacentral:lncRNA from 1 species
AAACUGCAGUCUCGUUGCAGCUAUAGCAAGAGUGGGAAUCAUGCAUCACAGAGCUGUAGACAAAAUGUCCCGACACGGCAAUUCUGGAACACCUCCUGAUGGCAUACUGAUAUUUUACGAAGGAUCGAGAAGAGAUUGCC